UACGAAGGGUGCAAACGUUGCUCGGAAUCAUUGGGCGUAAAGCGUGUGUAGGCGGCCUAACAAGUCGGGUGUGAAAGCCCCGGGCUCAACCCGGGAAGUGCAUUCGAAACUGCUAGGCUUGAGUACGGGAGAGGGUCGCGGAAUUCCCGGUGUAGAGGUGAAAUUCGCAGAUAUCGGGAGGAACACCAGUGGCGAAGGCGGCGACCUGGACCGAUACUGACGCUGAGACACGAAAGCGUGGGGAGCAAACAGG
rnacentral:rRNA from 1 species